UGACCCGUCUUGAAACACGGACCAAGGAGUCUAGCGUGUGCGCGAGUCAUUGGGAAUCACUAAACCUAAAGGCGAAAUGAAAGUAAACGUCCACUUACUGUGGACUGAGGGAAGAUGGUUGGUCUCCAUGACCGACUCGCACUCCCGGGGCGUCUCGUUCUCAUUGCGAGAUGAGGCGCACCAAGAGCGUACACGCUGGGACCCGAAAGAUGGUGAACUAUGCCUGGUCAGGACGAAGUCAGGGGAAACCCUGAUGGAGGUCCGUAGCGAUUCUGACGUGCAAAUCGAUCGUCGGAACUGGGUAU
rnacentral:rRNA from 1 species